AUGUGUGGAUCCAAGAAGAAAAAAAUAGGAUCUCUUUGUUCUUCAUCUUCUUCAUAUUCUUCUUAGAUCGACCAACAACAUGGUGUCUUCGUGAGCUAGCAUUCUCAAGGAGACCAAUCAACACAAGGGCUUCAUGUGGAUACCCAUAGAGGUCGGACAUAUGAAUAGCUGCUGAGCAUCAUGAAGAAUCAGCUAUCAUGAAUUUUGGAUGCGGUGAUCUACUACCCACGCUCUAGUAUAGAGUUUUGAACUUAAUUCAUAUUUAGAUAUGAUCUAAAUACAAUUUAGAUAUGAUCUAAUUUGAUAUAG
rnacentral:lncRNA from 1 species